UGCUUCAGAUUCUGUGUCUCCCUCUCUCUCUUCUCCUCCCCUGCUCACACACUGUCUCUCUCUCUCAAAAAUAAGUAAAAAUUAAAUCUUUUUUUUUUAUUGGAGCAUUUGGCCUGCACCAGGCCAGGGCUUCCUCCUUUGUCUCCUGGGCUAUUAACUUGGAGGACUGAAGGAUAUUAGCUGUUCCAGGCUAGUUGCUCUCCAGGAGGGAAUCUGAGGGAUCUGUGUAGCUGCCCAGAGUACUUUUUGUUUCAGGGGAAAUUGUCUGCUAAUUCCAGACCAUGCUAGCUGUCAAUGUUGCAUUUUGGUUGGAGUGCAAAGGAAGGAGCAUUUGGGGAAGCUGAGGAAAUUCAAGACCAGGACUCCAUUGGAAAUUUUGAUUACCUUGCCAAGGCUCUGACUGGGAUAUCAUAUUUGAGAGAGACAUGAAUAGACUCAGAUAUGACCAGACAGCUUUAAAGAACUAAGGUUGACUUUACGGAGCCAAUAAAGCCCUUUGGAAAUGUUGGCCAGAUCCCUUGCUUACAGAGUUCCCAGGAGCCUUACCAGCCAACUCCCUCACAGAUGGUGCUCUUACAACUCAUCUUCCCAUCUCUUCAAAGUUGUAAUCAUAGAUGAAGAAGGAAACAGAGGAAACAAAGAAGUGAAAUGACCCACAAAGAAGGCAGCUUCUCACAUCCUGAAGCAUUAUUUCGGAGGCUUCUACCUUGAUUUGUCUCCAAGUGUCCAGCAAGAUCAAAGAUCUCAACACCUGUUUUGUUUGCCAACUCCUUGGCAGGAGAAAAGCUCCUUCAACUGUCUCUGGAGGCUCCUUACUGGGUACUAAGGAUGCUUGUCCCACAUUUCUCCUGGGGAGCUGUCUCCUCCCAACAAAGACACAACAGUGGUUCCUAACAUUUGCUGAAUCGCACACCCUUGUGAGGUUGGUAACUUCAAUAAAAAAAAAUAUAUCAUACAUUCUUCUGAAGUCCAUCCAUGGACCCUGAGCAGGAAUCCCAGAGGAGGACCAUCUGAAUGGCACGAUCGGAGAUGGGUAAUGCUUUUGAUAAUUUCUGUUUCCCUUUUACUGAAGAUGAGAGACAGUGGGAUACAGAUGAAGUAUGAAGAUACCAUAGAAGCAACCCAAGAACAAAAUAUCUGGAAAUAAAUAAUCACAUUUUAUGACUCCAACAGAAGGAGGCAAAACAAAAAUGAACAACCAAACUUAUAGAAGAGAAAAGCAAACUCAUGAUUGGGAAUCCUGAGAGAGCUUAUCACAAAUCCAGCUUAUAACAACACAGAGAAACAUUGUCCUCAAACACCAUGUCACCAUGUUCAGAAAUGCCCUCAUUCUGUGCAAUAAUCUAUGAUUAUUUGAAUAGCUUAUAUUCAGUUCAGACUCUCUGACCCAGCUGUCAGAGCACCUACCCUAAUUCUCCCCCUACCCUCAGGAUCAUCACCUUUUUCUUAACUCAGCUCCUCACAUCUUCACUUACCCUUCCUGGGAUGAGUCUUUGGCCUGAGUAAAUCCUGCCCUGCCAGGGAUGCCCUCCUCACUCCUUUCUGUCCAGUCUUAAUGCUUCUGUCCAGUCUUAAUGCUAGGUCUUCUCAACCCUAAUCUACAACUUUUCCACCCACGUCUCAGAAGCCUUUCCUAAGCCAUCCUGACUGGUCCCCAUCUCCAAAGUUCCUCCCCUUCCUGCCAGCACUUACAGACCAUUCUGAUGCUCAGCUGAAACUAAUUUUCCCUUUCAGUCUGUUGGUGUCCUGGGUAUGUCACUUAAAUUCCUUUAAACUUCUGAGGGCAGGGCCAGGAUCAAUAUACCUCCUUUUUCUGAAUCCCACUCUCCCACCACCAAACCUCACUACCCAGAACAAGAAUCCACUCAUAAUUGUACUG